rnacentral:tmRNA from 1 species
GGGGGCGAUUUAGUUUCGACAGAGCAUAAUUUAUGAAAUGUAAAGCAUGUGGCGGUUCGUCCUUACGCCUUAAACAAGAACAAGCGUAAAUAAACGCAGACGAAAAUAAUAAUGUUGUUUCAAUGAAUGCUAUGCCUUGCGCUGCUUAGUUGAAAUAACGCCUGAUUAGAGCAUUAUCUAAUUCGCUUACUUUUUAUCUUGCCAAUAAAAUUUUAAGUGUCAGUUUAGGCAAAAAUUUUAUGCUAAGUUCUUCCUUGUAUGCAUAAAAAAUUUUUAAGGAAUUGCUUUAAAAACCUGUUUGUGGGUGACUUUAAAGUGAAACUUAAUCACAAAAUAAACAUGUAGAAAAGUUUUGUAAAUAUGUUUUGGACUCGGGAGCAUAACCCGACGCCUCCAC